rnacentral:misc_RNA from 1 species
UCAAACUUGGUCAUUUAGAGGAAGUAAAAGUCGUAACAAGGUAACCGUAGGUGAACCUGCGGUUGGAUCAUUAAUGAUUCUGUUAUUGGUCGUUGGCGCAAUGCCACAGAUCAAAUAACUUUUACCCAAUGUGAAUUGUGUAUGUAUUUGGCAAGUUAUAGUGUUAAACGCUAGAGUUUCGCUCUUGGGCGAAAGCUUGCCAGUAAUUUUACUAUUUGAUCAUCGUGAGCCUGAAUGAAUCAAAAAAUAAAGUGAAACAACUUUUGGCAACGGAUCUCUUGGCUCUCGCAUCGAUGAAGAACGCAGC